rnacentral:rRNA from 1 species
UAUUGCGCAAUGGGCGAAAGUCUGACGCAGCGACGCCGCGUGAGGGAUGAAGGUUUUCGGAUCGUAAACCUCUGUCAGGAGGGAAGAAAGCGCAUGGCGCCAAUCAGCCAUGCGUUGACGGUACCUCCAAAGGAAGCGCCGGCUAACUCAGUGCCAGCAGCCGCGGUAAUACGGAGGGUGCGAGCGUUAAUCGGAAUUACUGGGCGUAAAGCGCACGUAGGCUGUUGUGUAAGUCAGGGGUGAAAUCCCACGGCUCAACCGUGGAACUGUCCUUGAUACUGCAUGACUGGAAUCCGGGAGAGGGUGGCGGAAUUCCAGGUGUAGGAGUGAAAUCCGUAGAUAUCUGGAGGAACAUCAGUGGCGAAGGCGGCCACCUGGACCGGUAUUGACGCUGAGGUGCGAAAGCGUGGGGAGCAAACAGG